UCGUGGUGGUUUUGAUAAUUAUGGCAGUUUUAAACCGCCAUUAUCACCUAGGUAUAAAAGAAGAAUUAUCAAUCCCUAAUUUCAGAAACCCUUACUUUGUUGAAACACUACGCCGUGGCGCUGAUGCUCCUGGUUGGCCUGUGCAACAAUCUUCGAUCCUCUUGCGUUCUCCAACAAUCUACCCCGGUGACAUCUCCUCUAGCAUUGAUCUCCUUCGGCGAUAUCUCCUACAGUGGCGAUUUCCUCCAGUGACGUCUCCUCCAACUUCCUCUCCUUGUCAUCCUCUAUGUCUUCUCCGCCAAAAUCGUCAAUGCCUUCCUUUACGACGAUCCAGAUCAGCUUCCUUUCCUUCCUUCUUUCCUUCCUUCCCUCUCCUUUCCUUCCUUUGUGAUGAGUCUCUCUUUUUAGGAUUUUGCAAGGAUUCGUCGCGAGUGGAGAAGUCAGUUUCGCAGUUUGCGCUGCUGACAACGUUCCUCCACAAUUUGUGUUCUGCCGCUCUCACUGUGCUCCCAUUGCCGAUAUUCGUCCAUUCUUCUGCUUGGUGCCUUUGCCGCCGUCCUUCGCUCUUCCAAACGUCUCAUUUGUGUUCCGUUUAUGUUUGGCAUUGUAUUUUCCAUUUCAGUUUUCAUCCAUUUGUUACAUUAAAGUGUUAGGAUUCUUGAUGAAUAAUAACUUCAUGAAUAAUAAACUAAACUAGGUUGAUGAAUUUAAACUAUAAUUAUGUUAGAUUGAGCAUGUCCUAUAAAGAAAAUAUCAGUACUAACUAAUGGAUUUUAAAAUUAUUCAUAAUAUUCUAAGUAAAAUUAGAAAGUAAUUCCUGCCGAGUGCCAUGCCCUGAGUUUGGAACCAAUUUACAAGUAGAAUAACUUUUGAUUCUUGUCUUUUUUAUACAGCAUAGAUAUCAUGGCCUUUUUUUGUGUUCUGUUUCGUCCAGUUACUGCCUAAUUGUGAUUAGUACCUUUAAUUUAGUCUUGUCAUUAGGGACAUCUUAUAUAAAGCUAUAAACUAUAUAUUAAAUUAAUUUUAUUCUUUAUGAUAUUUUUGGGUUUUGUGUGUUUUCUUCUUCUGGCUUCUAUCUUCAACUGCUUCACAAACGCAGUUUUUUUUUUUUUCAAUUCUUUUCUGCUUACUCAGAUUUUAGCUAAAUAUCAUACAGUGGGGUUGAGCAAUUUGAAGUAAGCUUCUAACUUUAUGUCAUUUUGGAUUUCUCUUCUUGUUUUUAAUUUCAGUGAAUAAUCAACUAAGUUAGAUAAUUUAACUAUUUUUGUCUCUGCUCAAUAAAGUGUAUUGAUGGAUCUGUGUUCUAUUUGUGCUUAAUGUUUUUAACAGUGGGUUUCUUAGAGAACUUUGGGUAAUUCAAGUGACUGAAUUUGAAAGUUUUAGUUUGGUUUGUUGGUUUGUGUUGGAGGGGGGGAGAGUAAUGGGAAUAUGGGUAUUGAAGUACAUGCAAAAUAUGUGUGAAGAUUAGUUUGAUUGAGAGUUUGUUUCUAUUUUUGACAUCUGAGUACAAUUUUUUUAGCCUUUAGUUUCUUCCAAUUUUGUGAUAGAACCUUUUUUAUUUUCUUAUUAAGUUGGCAUGUGGAGAAUUUUAACUAAUGCAAAGUAGUCAAUGCUUCUGCUUAAUCUUUGUUUCAAUAUGAGAUUUUGUUUUAUUUGUAGAAGAUUCAAAUCUCAUGUUAAUAGCAUUAAUUACCGUUUUCAAUAAUCUCGGCAUUUGGUUCUUUUUUUAGUUAAACAAGCAAUGUCAUGAGUUGAAACUUAUUUUACUUGGGGAUUUCAUUUUAAAUUCAUCUGUAUGUUACUUUUUUAAUGCUUCUUUGCAAUUGGACUUCUAUGUCACAUGCAAUUGGACUUUAUACAUUUAAAUUCAAUUUGCCCCUCCUUUGCAAAUUUAAGGAUUAUGAAAUUUGUGUUAGAAAAAUAUAGUUGAUGCAAUCAUUUGUUAUCUAUAUGUUACUUUUUUACUGCUUCUUUGCGAAUUUAAGAAUUAUGAAAUUUGUAUUAGGAACUUUUUUACAAUCUGUUGCCUUAUUUGAGCAACUAUUCUGCUUAUUGUUUUUAAUGAAUCUGUUGGUGAUAACUUUCAUGUGAAACAGGCUUUAGAUAUUUUAUAACUCUUGCUGCUAGAUAGUUUACUUUGAAAGUUUCAAGUUUUAAUAUUUGCUGGAAAAGAAAAAAGGAGGGCUGAUUUCUAUUUUCUACUUGUCCCUAUUAGUCAUGUCAAUCGAUAAGUCAUGACAAGUCAAUAGCUACUGGAAAUGCUUCUCUAGACAAAUCAGCAAUUGCUACGUACAUCUAAAAAUUCAUCUUCAUCACAGACCUUGUAUUCUUCUAAGCCAACAUCAGUUGCUCUAACUACAUCAGAACGUCCAUCAUCCGAAGCUAGAUGUAAGCGUGGACGUGAGUCUAAGCAUUAUUGGACUGUUGAUGCCAUAGUUUUGAGCUGCCAUUAUCACUUAGGUAUAAAAGAAGAAUUAUCAAUCCCUAAUUUCAGAAACCCUUACUUCGUUGAAACACUAUGUCAUGAUGCUGUUGCUCCUGGAUGUCCUGUGCGACGAUCUCCGAUCCUCUUGCAUUCUCCAACGAUCUUCUCGAGUGACAUCUCCUCCGGCAUCGAUCUCCUUCGGCGAUAUCUCCUACAGUAGCAAUUUCCUCCGGUGAUGUCUCCUCCAGCUUCCUCUCCCUAUCGUCCUCAGUGUCUUCUCCACCAAAAUCGUCAAUGCCUUCCUCUACAACGAUCCAGGCCGUUUGCAAGGAUUCAUCGCGAGUGGAGAAGUCUGUUCCGCAGUUUGCGCUGCUGACAACGUUCUUCCGUAAUUUAUGUUCUGUUGCUCUCGCUGCACUACCGUCGCCGAUGUUCAUCCAUUCUUCUACUUCGUGCCUUUGCCUCCAUCGCUCGCUCUUCCAAAGAUUUGAGCCGAAUAUCAUACGGUGGGGUUGAGCAGUUUGAAAAGAUACAACCACUAACUACAGAAGAAGCCAUGUACAGUAUAACAAGAAGCUUACAGCUUUGAAUUAGAGCAUUAAUGUUGGUCAACACCAAGUUGCUGAAUAUUUGAUUGUGAUCUCAAGUCUCAACUUCUGAAUCGGCUUGAAAAUAUCUUCUUCAACUCCUGCUGCUAGCUACUUUACUUUGAAAGUUUCAAGUUUUAAUAUUUGCUGAGAAAGAAAAAAGGAGGAUUGCUUUCUAUUUUCUACUUGGAAUGACUUAAAGGAUGGAAAUGAAACAUACAAAAAUGGAAGGAAAGCACAAAACAGAGU